GGGCAUUUGGUCUAGGGGUAUGAUAUCUGCUUCGCACUACUUGUACAGUGUUUGCAGAGGGUCCUGGGUUCAAUUCCCAGAAUGUCCA